GUCUCUGGCCAUACCACCCUGAACGCGCCCGAUCUCAUCUGAUCUCGGAAGCUAAGCAGGGUCGGGCCUGGUUAGUACUUGGAUGGGAGAGAUU
ensembl:rRNA 5S_rRNA 5S ribosomal RNA